UACGUAGGGGGCUAGCGUUGUCCGGAAUCAUUGGGCGUAAAGAGCGUGUAGGCGGCCCGGUAAGUCCGCUGUGAAAGUCGGGGGCUCAACCCUCGAAUGCCGGUGGAUACUGUCGGGCUAGAGUGCGGAAGAGGCGAGUGGAAUUCCUGGUGUAGCGGUGAAAUGCGCAGAUAUCAGGAGGAACACCGAUUGCGAAGGCAGCUCGCUGGGACGGUACUGACGCUGAGACGCGAAAGCGUGGGGAGCGAACAGG
rnacentral:rRNA from 1 species